GACGAACCGUGCGAACGUUGUUCGGAUUCACUGGGCUUAAAGGGCGCGUAGGCGGCUUGCCAAGUCAGGGGUGAAAUCUUUCGGCUCAACCGGAAAACAGCUUCUGAUACUGGCGGGCUUGAGGAGGGUAGGGGCAGAUGGAACUUCCGGUGGAGCGGUGAAAUGCGUAGAUAUCGGAAGGAACGCCGGUGGCGAAAGCGAUCUGCUGGACCCUCUCUGACGCUGAGGCGCGAAAGCCAGGGGAGCAAACGGG
rnacentral:rRNA from 1 species